GCCAUAUCUCGUUGAAACACCGGUUGCCAUAGGAUCACCGAAGAUAAACGACGUUGAAUCUGGUCAGUACUUAGAUGAUUGACCGCUUGGGAAUAUCAGGUGCUGUUA